AAAUUGAAGAGUUUGAUCAUGGCUCAGAUUGAACGCUGGCGGCAGGCCUAACACAUGCAAGUCGAACGGUAACAGGAAGCAGCUUGCUGCUUUGCUGACGAGUGGCGGACGGGUGAGUAAUGUCUGGGAAACUGCCUGAUGGAGGGGGAUAACUACUGGAAACGGUGGCUAAUACCGCAUAACGUCGCAAGACCAAAGAGGGGGACCUUCGGGCCUCUUGCCAUCAGAUGUGCCCAGAUGGGAUUAGCUUGUUGGUGAGGUAACGGCUCACCAAGGCGACGAUCCCUAGCUGGUCUGAGAGGAUGACCAGCCACA
rnacentral:rRNA from 2 species